rnacentral:rRNA from 1 species
AGAGUUUGAUUAUGGCUCAGGACGAACGCUGGCGGCGUGCUUAACACAUGCAAGUCGAACGAGAAUCUACUGAAAGAGUUUUCGGACAAUGGAAGUAGAGGAAAGUGGCGGACGGGUGAGUAACGCGUGAGGAACCUGCCUUGAAGAGGGGGACAACAGUUGGAAACGACUGCUAAUACCGCAUGACGCAUAGAGGUCGCAUGAUCUUUAUGCCAAAGAUUUAUCGCUUCAAGAUGGCCUCGCGUCUGAUUAGCUAGUUGGCGGGGUAACGGCCCACCAAGGCGACGAUCAGUAGCCGGACUGAGAGGUUGAACGGCCACAUUGGGACUGAGAUACGGCCCAG